AACGCAUAUUGCGCUCUUUGGUAUUCCGAAGAGCAUGCUUGUUUGAGUAUCAGUAAACACCUCAACUUUUUUUUUUCUUGAAAAAAGAAAAGUUGGAUUUGAGCAAACCCAACACUUUUUUAAAUAAGAGUGGCGGGUUGCUUGAAAUGCAGGUGCAGCUGUAACAAGAACAGACUGAGCUAAAAGCAUAUCUAUUUGAUCCGUCUCGGCGGGCCAUCUCUAUUUGCUGCAGCUACUCUAAGGUCAUCUUGUCGAGCUGACUGAUGCAGGAUUUGUCAGGACGCAAGUUCUUUCAAAACUCGAUCUCAAAUCAAGUAAGACUACCCGCUGAACUUAA
rnacentral:misc_RNA from 1 species